GGUGGCAUCAUCAUUAACAACAUGAGUGGGUGGUAGGAAAAGAGCUCCUCCUGCCUUGUUCUCCCAUCUGCAAAAUGCUGGAUGUUAAAGGAGACAACAAUACACCAACCUGCAGGACAAACCAAACAAGGGAGGAGCAGGUGUCUCUGCUGCCUGACAUGGAGAACGGACGAUUGUUUGUUGGAUGGUCAGGUUCGUUUCAGAGGCCGUCCAUCUUCUGAAGCUCAGCGUCCAUCCUCUCCCACCCUUAACUGAUUGUGACAGCAACAAUGUCUAUCACUGUGACUAAAGCAUUAUCAAGGGACAUUUGCAUUUUGUCCCAUCUAUUACCAUACCACAUCUUACUGCUCCUGGGCUGCAACAAGGUAGUCACAGCA